rnacentral:sRNA from 1 species
UUAAACCUGCUUGGUUAGUGAUAGACCGAAGUUUGGACCUACAAUUCUUUUAAGGGAGCCCGGCUUACCCUGAUGGGAUGCAGACCUCCCGGCGGGAGCCGACUUGUUCCGCUGCCCGUUCGGACGCUGGGAGCAACAAAGUCAGGGACGAAGGCAUCCACCCUGUACUGACAGGGUCAGAAUUUUCGGCUACACGGCCCGGCGGGGAAACG